rnacentral:rRNA from 1 species
GGCGAACGGGUGAGUAACACGUGGGUGAUCUGCCCUGCACUUCGGGAUAAGCCUGGGAAACUGGGUCUAAUACCGGAUAGGAGCCAUUUCUAGUGUGAUGGUUGGAAAGUUUUUUCGGUGUAGGAUGAGCUCGCGGCCUAUCAGCUUGUUGGUGGGGUAAUGGCCUACCAAGGCGGCGACGGGUAGCCGGCCUGAGAGGGUGGACGGCCACAUUGGGACUGAGAUACGGCCCAG